AUCGGAGGCUAAGAAUCUCUAUACAGGCUCCUCCAGUCCAAUCUCUCCCCCGACCUCUUCAAGGAGGCAAGCCGGCUGCUUUUGGGGCUGAAUUGUGCACGCCUAUUCGAGGCUAUUUCCCUGCCUGGGGCCACCACUGGUCUUGCCCAAGCGGAUAAUUUUGAUGUGCAUGCAUUCAGUUUUAACGCUGACAAAGAGCAUAUGAGGCAACAGCGAAUUGUUCGAGUUGGCCUAGUUCAGAACUCAAUUGCUGUUCCAACGACUUGUCAUUUUGCUGAUCAAAAGAAGUCUAUCAUGGAGAAAGUAAAACCCAUCAUAGAUGCAACUGGUGCUUCUGGUGUCAAUAUUUUGUGCUUACAGGAAGCCUAGACAAUGCCAUUUGCCUUCUGCACGCGCGGAAAACAUUGGUGCGAGUUUGUUGAGCCUGUUGAUGGAGAAUCUACUCGGUUUCUUCAAGAGCUUGCACAGAAAUAUAACAUGGUAAUUGUUAGCUCGAUCCUCGAAAGGGAUAUAAACCAUGGAGAGAUUAUAUGGAAUAGCGUUGUUGUAAUUGGAAAUAAUGGUAACAUAAUUGGCAUUCAUCGAAAGAAUCACAUCGCAAGAGUUGGCGACUUCAACGAGAGCACGUACUAUAUGGAAGGUGACACUGGGCAUCCGAUCUUUGAAACAGCUUAUGGCAAAAUUGUUGUAAACAUCAGGCAUCAUCCUCUCAAUUGGCUUGCAUUUGGCCUCAAUGGAGCGGAAAUAGUUUUCAACCCAUCUGCAACUGUCGGUGAACUCAGUGAACCAAUGUGGCCUAUUGAGGCAAGGAGUGCUGCAAUUGUAAAUAGCUACUUUGUCGGAUCAAUUAACUGGGUAGGCACAGAGGUAUUCCCGAACCCAUUCACUUCUGGUGAUGGGAAACCUCAGCAUGCCGACUUUGGUCAUUUCUAUGGAUCUAGCCAUUUCUCAGCGCCUGAUGCUUCCUGCACCCGUCACCCCGUUAGUAUCUGA
rnacentral:rRNA from 1 species